UGGGGAAUUUUCCGCAAUGGGCGCAAGCCUGACGGAGCAAUACCGCGUGAGGGAGGAAGGCUCUUGGGUCGUAAACCUCUUUUCUCAGGGAAGAACACAAUGACGGUACCUGAGGAAUCAGCAUCGGCUAACUCCGUGCCAGCAGCCGCGGUAAUACGGAGGAUGCAAGCGUUAUCCGGAAUGAUUGGGCGUAAAGCGUCCGUAGGUGGUUUUGUAAGUCUGUGGUUAAAGCGUGUAGCUCAACUACAUAACGGCCAUGGAAACUACAUAACUUGAGUGAAGUAGGGGUAGAGGGAAUUCCCAGUGUAGCGGUGAAAUGCGUAGAGAUUGGGAAGAACACCGGUGGCGAAAGCGCUCUACUGGACUUAUACUGACACUGAGGGACGAAAGCUAGGGGAGCGAAAGGGAUUAGAUACCCCUGUAGUC
rnacentral:rRNA from 1 species